GGGGGAUGUUUGAAACUCCCAAUGCUCAGGCUCUACCUCAGACCAGUUACAGUCAGAAUCUCUGGAGCCAAGGCCUAGGCAUCAGAGCUCCAAGGUUGAGAACCGCUGCUCUAAGCCAGCAUGGAAACUGCUCUGGCUCAGGAGUUAGGAGACCCAGAAGAUACCCCUCACUACAAAAAAGUGCCAGUGUCACUUUCACUGAGGCCCAAAGUGCAGACAGAAAAGAGAUAGUUCUGACGGCACUUAGGAAUUUGUUUUUGUACUCCUCUGGAAUUUGAGGAGAGGAGGGUGUGUCACGUGUCUUGGGAAUACCUAACAUUUCAAACGACAAAACGAUGCCACACUGUGAAAUGAGAUGGGAAGCUAUUGAGUAUCCCGGCCCGGCUCUGGGUAGCAACCUCUCUCCAGCCUCCAGGCCACGGGCACACAGAAGCUCUGCAGCGGUCUGCCUGCUGUGCAGCAGCCUCCGUCCACAGGCCCCCCGAGUUCUUUCUGAUAGUGGCCUGCCACCGGAGAGGCCACAGGCUGGAGCAAGGAGCUGACUCAUGGGGUAGGGAGAAAAUGGCCUGGAUCUUUGACAGAGGGUUCUGAGGAAGAAGUUUCCAGAAGAGGCAAUGCUGGAUCUUAGGGCACCCCUGGCCUUCCUGCCUCAUUAUCCUCUUCAUCCUGAUGUCCUAGAGACCUCUGCUGUCACCGCCUGCCUGCCCAGACCACUCCAUGGUUCACCCACUCCAUGGCCUGUUUUCCUUGCUCCUCCCUGGAAAGCCAAUCCCUCAUCUCCUGCUCUCUGAAGCUUUGCCUGCCAGCCCAACUUGCUCUCAUUGUUUGACAACUGUGCCUCAAUUACAGCACUUACCACAUUGUGUUAUCACGAUUUUUCUACGUGUUUCAUUUUCUCUCUAGACCAGAAAUUUCCAAGGCAUCAUCUGACACAUGGCUUGGCACUCAGUAAAUGAAUGAAGGAAUGAAUGAAUGAAUUCAUUAGUAAAUUUAAUUGAACUCACAUUGUGUGCUAAACACUGGCACUGUGUAUAUACAACUGUGAACAAAACCAGACUCCCUGCUCUUGAGUGGGCAGAGACACACCAUAAACCAACAAAUAAUUGUAGGUAAUUGGUCAGAUGAUGAUGAGUGCUAUGAAGAAAAAUAAGGCAGAGGGUGGCGCUAGAGAACACCAUUGUUCACAGAUCAGCCCUGAGCUAACAUCUGCUGCCAAGCCUCCACUUUUUGCUGAGGAAGACUGGCCCUGAGCUAACAUCUGUGCCCAUCCUCCUCUACUUUAUAUGUGGGACGCCUACCACAGCAUGGCUUGCCAAGUAGUGCCAUGUCCGCACCAGGGAUCCGAAUUGGCGAAGCCUGGGCGCCAAAGUGGAACGUGCCAACUUAACCACUGCACCCCGGGCUGGCCCCCUAGACAUAGCUGUUAAUUAGGUAACUGAAAAGGUAGACCAGGACUCUGAGGUAUCAUGGAGGUAGCAACUGCAGGAAGCAGCCAACGCUCCUAGGGCUAGGGCGGCUAAAGGAAGAGAUUGAUGUUAGAACUUAGAAACUCAAAGGUGGUCUUGGCAGCUGGGACUCAGACCUCUGAGAAGCGGGUGAUACUCAGCUGGUGCUGGGUGUCUCUGAGGGGCCCCGUGAGGUUGGUUCUACAGGCCUUGAAGAAACUGCGAGCUGUUUUCAGCUGCUGCUGCAGGGCCUGCUGCUUCUGGGACCACGCUUAUAGGAACAGGAGAGAGAGGGAAGCAAACUGGAGGGAGCAAGUCCCUGCCUCCUCCUCCAGCCUCGCACUUGCUCUCUAACGCCCCCUAUUGGCAGGGCCUGGCAGGGAGCCGCUACAAAGCAGGAAUUUGGUUUGCGGAGUCCCAGCCACCAAGUCACAAAGCUGAGCACAGAAGGUGGGUUUGCAGUUGAGAGACAAGAGCUUUGAAGAACUGACGUACCUUCCAAAGGAUACAUAUCCAUGCAGUCACAGAAAGAAGUGGCCUGUGGCCUGGCCAGCACCGGCUGACCCAGGAACACAAGUCAAAGAGAGAAGCAAGACAGCAAUUCUGCACCCAGCCAGUGACUGGAGAUUCAGUUUGCAAACAGGCACCAGCAGCUCAGAGUUAUCAUAGCAAGAUUUCAAGAAUGUUCAGUGACCGGCAGGAGCACUGCUAGAGCUACUAAGAAUCUGGCAAUAUUGAUGUUUCCAUGUCUUUCUUCCUAUCCAGCCCCGCCACCACGCACACACCUUGUAGACUCCUCCUUCAUUGCUGUGUCUGCCCUGUAGAAUACAGCUGUUGGACUUCACCCCCUCUCUCAGUGACAUGCCACGAUGGGGGAAACUGUUGCCUGCUCCUGGGAGCAAGCUGUUCUCUCUGCCAGUUGUCCAAACAAUGGAAAUUUCCAGGAUUCUUUGCUGCAGUUUUUCAAAGUUAAUGGACAUAGCUGACUUUUGAAAAAGCUAGCUGUUACCAGGGGCCAAGAGGAGUAUGAGAGAAAAAUGCUUACCUCCGGACUCUCCAAUGUGGAGGAAAAAUUCUGUCUAAAGAGAUGAGCAACAAUGACAAAAAUGCCCCCCUGCUCUUUAUAAAUCCUCAUUCUGGUUCUCACACCACAGGUUACCAGGACCCAGGUGGGAUGCUAAGACAGGGAGGCUAGACAGAACAAGAUAGGAUCU
rnacentral:lncRNA from 1 species